GGGCCCGCACAAGCGGUGGAGUAUGUGGUUUAAUUCGAUGCAACGCGAAGAACCUUACCAGGGUUUGACAUCCUGCGAAUCUCUUGGAAACAGGAGAGUGCCUUCGGGAACGCAGUGACAGGUGGUGCAUGGCUGUCGUCAGCUCGUGUCGUGAGAUGUUGGGUUAAGUCCCGCAACGAGCGCAACCCACGUCUUUAGUUGCCAGCAUUUAGUUGGGCACUCUAGAGAGACUGCCGGUGAUAAACCGGAGGAAGGUGUGGAUGACGUCAAGUCAUCAUGCCCCUUACGGCCAGGGCUACACACGUGCUACAAUGGCGCGCACAGAGGGCUGCAAACCCGCGAGGGGGAG
rnacentral:rRNA from 1 species